rnacentral:rRNA from 1 species
CGGGGUAGCAAUACCCAGUGGCGCACGGGUGCGUAACGCGUAUGCAACCUACCCCGGAAUGGGGGAUAGCCUUCCGAAAGGGAGAUUAAUACCGCAUAACACCAUAUGAGGGCAUCUGAGUAUGGUUAAAGAUUUAUCGGUCCAAGAUGGGCAUGCGUGCCAUUAGCUAGUUGGCGGGGUAAGGGCCCACCAAGGCUACGAUGGCUAGGGGGUCUGAGAGGAUGGUCCCCCACACUGGCACUGAGAUACGGGCCAGACUCCUACGGGAGGCAGCAGUAGGGAAUAUUGGGCAAUGGGCGGAAGCCUGACCCAGCCAUGCCGCGUGCAGGAUGAAGGCCUUCUGGGUUGUAAACUGCUUUUAUCAGGGAAGAAAACACCCAUGCGUGGGGAACUGACGGUACCUGAGGAAUAAGCACCGGCUAACUCCGUGCCAGCAGCCGCGGUAAUACGGAGGGUGCAAGCGUUGUCCGGAUUUAUUGGGUUUAAAGGGUGCGUAGGCGGCCCAUUAAGUCAGUGGUGAAAGCCCGGGGCUCAACCCCGGAACCGCCAUUGAUACUGGUGGGCUUGAGUAUGGACGAGGUUGGCGGAAUUGAGGGUGUAGCGGUGAAAUGCUUAGAUACCCUCAAGAACACCGAUUGCGUAGGCAGCUAACUAGGGCCAUAACUGACGCUGAGGCACGAAAGCGUGGGGAGCGAACAGGAUUAGAUACCCUGGUAGUCCACGCCGUAAACGAUGAUUACUCGAUGUCGGCGACAGACUGUCGGCGUCUUAGCGAAAGCGCUAAGUAAUCCCCCCUGGGGGAGUACGCCCCGCAAGGGUGAAACCUCAAAGGAAUUGACGGGGGGCCCGCACAAGCGGU